rnacentral:rRNA from 1 species
AUUGAACGCUGGCGGCAGGCCUAACACAUGCAAGUCGAGCGGAUGAAGGGAGCUUGCUCCUGGAUUCAGCGGCGGACGGGUGAGUAAUGCCUAGGAAUCUGCCUGGUAGUGGGGGAUAACGUCCGGAAACGGGCGCUAAUACCGCAUACGUCCUGCGGGAGAAAGUGGGGGAUCUUCGGACCUCACGCUCUCAGAUGAGCCUAGGUCAGAUUAGCUAGUUGGUGGGGUAAAGGCCUACCAAGGCGACGAUCCGUAACUGGUCUGAGAGGAUGAUCGGUCACAAUGGAAGUGAGACAGGGACCAGACUCCUACGGGAGGCAGCAGUGGGGAAUAUUGGACAAUAGGCGAAAGCCUGAUCCAGCCAUGCCGCGUGUGUGAAGAAGGUCUUCGGAUUGUAAAGAACUUUAAGUUGGGAGGAAGGGCAGUAGGUUGAUACCUAGCUGUUUUGACGUUACCAACAGAAGAAGCACCGGCUAACUUCGUG